CGGCAGGCCUAACACAUGCAAGUCGAGCGGUAGAGAGAAGCUUGCUUCUCUUGAGAGCGGCGGACGGGUGAGUAAUGCCUAGGAAUCUGCCUGGUAGUGGGGGAUAACGUUCGGAAACGGACGCUAAUACCGCAUACGUCCUACGGGAGAAAGCAGGGGACCUUCGGGCCUUGCGCUAUCAGAUGAGCCUAGGUCGGAUUAGCUAGUUGGUGAGGUAAUGGCUCACCAAGGCGACGAUCCGUAACUGGUCUGAGAGGAUGAUCAGUCACACUGGAACUGAGACACGGUCCAGACUCCUACGGGAGGCAGCAGUGGGGAAUAUUGGACAAUGGGCGAAAGCCUGAUCCAGCCAUGCCGCGUGUGUGAAGAAGGUCUUCGGAUUGUAAAGCACUUUAAGUUGGGAGGAAGGGCAGUUACCUAAUACGUGAUUGUUUUGACGUUACCGACAGAAUAAGCACCGGCUAACUCUGUGCCAGCAGCCGCGGUAAUACAGAGGGUGCAAGCGUUAAUCGGAAUUACUGGGCGUAAAGCGCGCGUAGGUGGUUAGUUAAGUUGGAUGUGAAAUCCCCGGGCUCAACCUGGGAACUGCAUUCAAAACUGACUGACUAGAGUAUGGUAGAGGGUGGUGGAAUUUCCUGUGUAGCGGUGAAAUGCGUAGAUAUAGGAAGGAACACCAGUGGCGAAGGCGACCACCUGGAC
rnacentral:rRNA from 1 species